AGCUCAUCCAGAGGGGCAGAGGGAACGGCCCGUUGAAGCCCCGGCAACCAUCCGAUCGUCAUUCCUCGUGACGCGCUUUCGGCGCGAGCGAGCGGCCGACGAUUCGGACAGGUGCCAAGUCCGGCCCGUGGGACCCCACGGGUAAAGAUGAGGA
rnacentral:ncRNA from 2 species